AGAUGAAGAGGACCUCGCCCAAGGACACACAGAUACCGGGCUGGUCUUGGGUUUGGAACGUGAGGUUCCUGCCUUUCAGCCCCGUGCUCUUUCAACAGCAUCUUACACAACUUACAGAAUGGUGGGGGAAGCAGGAAUCGCACCUGCAAAACAAUGACGGAACCGUGAGGGGGCAGGGCUCCCAUUGCUGGUGACUUCCCACCCACAGUGGCUGCCAGUGCCUUUAUGUUGUUUACUUAAAUGUGCUUGUCUGGAGGUUGUCAUUUUCUUUUGAGACACUGAGAAUUCCCAUAAUUUUUUUAAAAAGUUCAGUAAAAUUGAAUUUCUACAUUUUUGCCCAAUUUUUUUUUCCUUUUUUGUUAUUUUUAAUUUUUUUUACAGAGUCUCGCUCUGUAGCCCAGGCUGGAGUGCAGUGGUGCAAACUCCUCCUCCUGUAUUCAAGUGAUUCUCCUGCCUCAGCCUCCCGAGUAGCUGGGACUACAGGUGCGCGCCACCAUGCCUGACCAAGUUUUGUAUUUUUAGUAGAGACGGGGUUUCACCAUGUUGGCCAGGCUGGUCUCAAACUCCUGACCUCAGGUGAUCCACCUGCUGCGGCCUCCCAAAGUGCUGGAAUUAUAGGCAUGAGUCACCUUGCCUGUCCCAUUUUUGCCCAAUUUGUGUCUCCUCAGUGUAUGAGUGUGUGUGUUUUGUGGGGGGCAGUCUGUUCCUAUAGGUUGGUCUGAUAUGGGGCUCUCUCUGUGUGUGCUUUGAUGGGGGCACAGCAACAGGAGAUGGUGGAAAUAAGGCAUGGAGAGGCCGUAUUGUGCCAUCAUACCUUACCAGGACACUCUGUGCCUGGAGGGGGAACGGGAGGGGGCCAGCCAUGCCAGGCUGAGAAAUGGCUUUCUUAACCCACAAGUGCACAGGCCUUGAAGGCUCAUGACUUAGGAUCAUUGUCACCCAUUCAUUCAUUCACUCAAAUCUGGAAAGCAUUCAAAAUAUAAUUUUUAAAAAUCACCUCUGGGGAAAAGUCUGGUGUCAGGUUCAGAAAGGAUUUGUUUCAUAUCCAGGGCCAUGUCUGGGUUGUGUUCUCUGCUAUCCAGGAACCCGAGGGCUCUCAUUCAGCCUCAAGGGCUAUGGAAUUGACUCCUGGUAGGUGGCUCUAGCACUGACUCUGGGCCCUCAGGGUCGAGGUUGCGGUGAAGACUGUGGUCCGCAUCGCCUCCUGCCCCAGAUUGGAUUGGAGGGAGCCAGUUUGAAGACCUGGUGCCAUAAGCCUACUGAUGUGGAACGCUGGAAGCAGAAUGCAGCUAUGGAUGGUGCUCGGAGGAGCUGUGCCACCAACCCCACACACACUCACACCAGUUCUGGGCCUCGGGCCUCGGAUGGGCUGGGGGGCCCAGUUGUGCAGGAGGGCGGGGGGCAAAUGGCGGGGGCCUUGGUCUUGGCUGCCAUGGCCAGAGGUGGGGCGGGGGUGGGGGGAUGGGGGAUGGAGGCCUCAGUCCCUGCCCUCACUAGGUGGCGGGAGCAGGAGGCAGGCUGACCCACUUAGAGACUGGCUCCUUUCAAAGCAGCGUGGUUGUGACGAGGGCUGCUUUAAGUGGGUCAGCCUGCAUAUACACAUUGGUCUUAAACUCUUCAAAACUUGGCUGUUAAACAUCUAGAUCCUGUUUUCAUUAGCUUGUAAGCCAUGGCCAUGGGGACCUGCCUGGUCUUCUGAAGCAGCAAGUGUGUCCAGAGGCUAAUAAACAGCAGGUGCCUCCAAUAAACAGGAUUUUAAUACUCGAUGUAAAUAUGGAUGCAAAUACAUGAAAAGAAAGGUGGGAUCUGAAUUAUAUGUGCAAGUUACACAAUUGCUCAGACGUUUUGCACUGAGAACUGUAGUGUGACUGUGGGUACCAUGUGUGUUUUACAGGUGCAGGACGUGUGUACAGUGUGGGAGAGUGUGUUUUUGCGGAUGGACAUGUAUGUGGUGUGUAGUAGGGAGCAUGUGUGUCUGCGUGUACGUGUAUGUGUAUGAAGAGAAGACUCCACCACCAGAUUGGGUGGGGACAGAGCCAGCUACUUAAUUUGCAGGGUCCCAGUGUAAAAGAAAAACAUGGGGCCCUCAUUCAAAAUUACCAGGAAUUUCAACACAGAAACAACAGAGCAUCACCCCAAACUGGGGCCUUUCUGAGCACAGGGUGGGUCUCACGCCCACGGAGGAGUGCACCUCCUUGUCUCCCUCCAACCUUCCCAUGCCACUUUGGAAGGCCCCUGGGUCCCCCUUUGCUCUCUCCCCACCAGCUUCCCAGGGUGGCCUUGACCUUGGCAGUGUGGGGAAGUGGCCAAGGUGGGCUGGCAGAGUGGCUGAGGGCUGUGCUGGUCUUACCCUUUCCCGACCCUCCUCUUCCAGCCUGGGCCUCACUAGGGGAACCCCAGUCCGUAAGGUGUCUCUUGCCCUGGGCUGUUGGUUCAAAAAGGCUCCUCUGCAAGCUGCCACUGUGUUCUGGGAAGUCGUGAGGCCGCAGGAACAAUCUAAAGCAAACGUGUCCAGCCCGCUUUGAAUGCGGCCCAACACAAAUUUGUAAACUUUCUUAAAAACAUUAUAA